GGUGUUUUUUUGUUCUUCUGGUAGACAUGAAAGGCGUGAAAGACAGGUGCAAAAAUGAAUCAUCUUUUGCAACCAAUAACUCCAUUGUACAGUAUGAGUUUUGAUACAUGUAAGAAGGAGUAUA